GGGCCCGCACAAGCGGUGGAGCAUGUGGUUUAAUUCGAUGAUACGCGAGGAACCUUACCAGGGCUUAAAUGUAAGUUGCAUAAGCUAGAGAUAGCUUUUUUCUUCGGACUACUUACAAGGUGCUGCAUGGUUGUCGUCAGCUCGUGCCGUGAGGUGUCAGGUUAAGUCCUAUAACGAGCGCAACCCCUGUUGUUAGUUGCCAUCGAGUAAUGUCGGGAACUCUAACAAGACUGCCGGUGCAAACCGUGAGGAAGGUGGGGAUGACGUCAAAUCAUCACGGCCCUUACGUCCUGGCUACACACGUGCUACAAUGGCCGGUACAGAGAGCAGCCACUACGCGAGUAGGAGCG
rnacentral:rRNA from 1 species